AGUGAACGCUGGCGGUAGGCCUAACACAUGCAAGUCGAACGGAAGCACAGUAAGAGCUUGCUCUUACGGGUGGCGAGUGGCGGACGGGUGAGGAAUACAUCGGCAUCUACUAUUUCGUGGGGGAUAACGUAGGGAAACUUACGCUAAUACCGCAUACGACCUACGGGUGAAAGCAGGGGAUCUUCGGACCUUGCGCGAUUGAAUGAGCCGAUGUCGGAUUAGCUAGUUGGCGGGGUAAGGGCCCACCAAGGCGACGAUCCGUAGCUGGCCUGAGAGGAUGAUCAGCCACACUGGAACUGAGACACGGUCCAGACUCCUACGGGAGGCAGCAGUGGGGAAUAUUGGGCAAUGGGCGCAAGCCUGAUCCAGCCAUACCGCGUGGGUGAAGAAGGCCUUCGGGUUGUAAAGCCCUGUUGUUGGGAAAGAAAAGCAGCAGAUGAAUACCCCGCUGUUCCGACGGUACCCAAAGAAUAAGCACCGGCUAACUUCGUG
rnacentral:rRNA from 1 species